CUGUUACGUUACGUCGUGUAUAUACAACUGUUAAAUAGAACCUGUAAAAUAUGGAAUCUAUUUAAUACGCUUGUAUGUGAAAGGUAAACUUUCCCACAAUCCUAUAUUCUAAGUGUUUAUAAGAAUUUCUUGCUUUGAAUAAUUCUGUAUUUUUUUAUGUAAAACCAUUGAUUAACUUGUUUUCAUCAAAAUGAAGGUUGUUUUGAUGUUUGUGCUAAUUCUUGGGGUUUUAAAUAUAAAUGCUGAAAGAAGUUCAAGCGAAUGCUUCGACGAAGGAAAAGAGUGUCGAAAAAAUGGGGGAACAAACGAAGAAUGUGACAUGGGUGUUCAGAUAUGCUUGAAUGGAUCAGAAAUGGAGACAAUUGGCUUAAAUGAUGAACAGACAAAGCGAUAGAAGCACGAUACUAUAAAAAUAUUUGCAUUUAAAAAAACUUCAACCGUCGAUUUGUAUUUAAUAAAAAUUCACUAUUGUAGAUAAUAAAUUAUAUACUUCUAA